rnacentral:lncRNA from 1 species
AGGUGGGUGAAACAACAUUGUUGGGACCCGAGUUAGUACGUAUGACUACCGAAAAGAUCCAAAUGAUUCGACAACGUAUACAAACGGCACAAGAUCGACAAAAGAGUUAUGCGGAUCUUCAUCGAAAGGACGUGGAAUUUAGUAUAGGGGAUCAUGUAUUGUUGCGAGUUGCUCCAUGGAAGGGAGUUACAAGAUUUGGGAAGAGAG